GUGAGUGUGUGUUGUAAGUGUGUUAUCGAAAUAAUAAAAGAUAAUUAGUUGUAAGUUUGUUUUGCCUUGUGAUAUUAUUCUUGGUGGAAGUUUUCUUUAGCAUUCCCAAUAUUAACUUAUAAUCUUGUUAAGAUUUUUAAAUGUAUACUUUUAAAUUUAAUUUCAAUCCUCCAUACUUUUUU